AGCGUAGGCGGAUAGUUUAGUCAGAGGUGAAAGCCCAGGGCUCAACCUUGGAAUUGCCUUUGAUACUGGCUAUCUUGAGUGUGGGAGAGGUAUGUGGAACUCCGAGUGUAGAGGUGAAAUUAGUAGAUAUUCGGAAGAACACCGGUGGCGAAGGCGACAUACUGGCCCAUUACUGACGCUGAGGCUCGAAAGCGUGGGGAGCAAACA
rnacentral:rRNA from 1 species